rnacentral:rRNA from 1 species
CCUGAGAAACUCAAAAGAUCGAAUGGGGAGAUUCAUCGUCAACACAUUUGGUAUAUGUGCAAGUUAUGAUAUAAGUUAUCCUUGUGUUAGCUAUAAUACAUGCUUGUUCAUUUAUUGCUGGAUGUGUCGGCGUGCACUUCUCCCCUAGUAGGACAUCGCGACCCGUUGAGUGUCGUUCUAUGGCCCAAAUGGUAGUCUUUAAUUAUUUUAUAAUUGAAGACAUUGGUGUACCUGAUCGACUGCUCGGCGGUAUUCACAUGGUAAUGAGUCGCAAUUAUUUGCGUCAAACCCAUUGCAAGCGCGGUCAGUUUCUCGGUAGUGCGGAUUUAACGCCGUCACUGAGACUGACCAGCUGUUGGUUUAUGGUGUCUUUGACUGACUCGAAAUAAUUACCGGUCGGCGAUGCUACUGCU